AUCGCUUCUCGGCCUUUUGGCUAAGAUCAAGUGUAGGAUUUUCCUUUCAGUCAUUCAAACUGAAUGAAAAGUUUACCCCUU
ensembl:snRNA U2 U2 spliceosomal RNA